rnacentral:rRNA from 1 species
UACGGGGGGGGUAAGCGUUGUUCGGAAUUACUGGGCGUAAAGGGCGCGUAGGCGGCCUUCUAAGUCGAACGUGAAAUCCCCGGGCUCAACCCGGGAACUGCGUCCGAUACUGGCAGGCUUGAAUUCGGGAGAGGGAUGCGGAAUUCCAGGUGUAGUGGUGAUAUGCGUAGAUAUCGGGAGGAACACCAGUGGCGAAGGCGGCUUUCUGGGCAUUUCCUGACGCUGAGACGCGAAAGCGUGGGGAGCGAACCGG